rnacentral:tRNA from 1 species
GCAGUGCGUGGCCGAAAUGGUACGCUGUCCGUUCUGUAAGCGGAUGAUUCUGGGUUCGAUUCCCAUCUGCUGCA